rnacentral:rRNA from 1 species
GCCUUGGGAUAGGCUUGCGUCUGAUUAGCUAGUUGGUGUGGUAACGGCACACCAAGGCUACGAUCAGUAACUGGUCUGAGAGGAUGAUCAGUCACACUGGAACUGAGACACGGUCCAGACUCCUACGGGAGGCAGCAGUGAGGAAUAUUGGGCAAUGCUCGAAAGAGUGACCCAGCAACGCCGCGUGGAGGAUGAAGGUAUUCUAUAUCGUAAACUCCUGUGAGAGCAGACGAAAGACAGAUUAUUAAUCUGGAUGACUGUAUGCUCAGAGGAAGCCCCGCUAACUACGUG